AUUGAACGCUGGCGGCAGGCCUAACACAUGCAAGUCGAACGAGUGGCGGACGGGUGAGUAAUGUCUGGGAAACUGCCUGAUGGAGGGGGAUAACGACUGGAAACGGGCGCUAAUACCGCAUACCAUCAGAUGUGCCCAGGUGGGAUUAGCUAGUUGGUGGGGUAACGGCUUACCAAGGCGACGAUCCGUAGCUGGUCUGAGAGGAUGACCAGCCACACUGGAACUGAGACACGGUCCAGACUCCUACGGGAGGCAGCAUUGGGGAAUAUUGGACAAUGGGCGCAAGCCUGAUCCAGCCAUGCCGCGUGUAUGAAGAAGGCCUUCGGGUUGUAAAGUACUUUAAGUGGGGAGGCGUUACCCGCAGAAGAAGCACCGGCUAACUCCGUGCCAGCCGCCGCGGUAAUUC
rnacentral:rRNA from 1 species